rnacentral:rRNA from 1 species
CCUACGGGUGGCAGCAGUCGAGAAUCAUUCACAAUGGGGGAAACCCUGAUGGUGCGACGCCGCGUGGGGGAAUGAAGGUCUUCGGAUUGUAAACCCCUGUCAUGUGGGAGCAAAUUAAAAAGAUAGUACCACAAGAGGAAGAGACGGCUAACUCUGUGCCAGCAGCCGCGGUAAUACAGAGGUCUCAAGCGUUGUACGGAAUCACUGGGCGUAAAGCGUGCGUAGGCUGUUUCGUAAGUCGUGUGUGAAAGGCGCGGGCUCAACCCGCGGACGGCACAUGAUACUGCGAGACUAGAGUAGUGGAGGGGGAAGCGGAAUUCUCGGUGUAGCAGUGAAAUGCGUAGAUAUCGAGAGGAACACUCAUGGCGAAGGCGGGUUCCUGGACAUUAACUGACGCUGAGGCACGAAGGCCAGGGGAGCGAAAGGGAUUAGAUACCCGGGUAGUC